rnacentral:rRNA from 1 species
UAGAGUUUGAUCAUGGCUCAGGAUGAACGCUGGCGGCGUGCUUAACACAUGCAAGUCGAACGGACUUAUAUUGAAACCUAGUGAAAUAUAAGUUAGUGGCGGACGGGUGAGUAACGCGUGGAUAACCUGCCGUAUACAGGGGGAUAACACUUAGAAAUAGGUGCUAAUACCGCAUAAGCGCACAGCUUCGCAUGAAGCAGUGUGAAAAACUGAGGUGGUAUACGAUGGUUCCGCGUCUGAUUAGCUAGUUGGUGGGGUAAUGGCCUACCAAGGCGACGAUCAGUAGCCGGCCUGAGAGGGUGAACGGCCACAUUGGGACUGAGACACGGCCCAAACUCCUACGGGAGGCAGCAGUGGGGAAUAUUGCACAAUGGGGGAAACCCUGAUGCAGCGACGCCGCGUGAGUGAAGAAGUCAUUCGUGAUGUAAAGCUCUAUCAGCAGGGAAGAAAAUGACGGUACCUGAGUAAGAAGCCCCGGCUAACUACGUGCCAGCAGCCGCGGUAAUACGUAGGUGGCAAGCGUUGUCCGGAUUUAUUGGGCGUAAAGCGAGUGCAGGCGGUUCAAUAAGUCUGAUGUGAAAGCCUUCGGCUCAACCGGAGAAUUGCAUCAGAAACUGUUGAACUUGAGUGCAGAAGAGGAGAGUGGAACUCCAUGUGUAGCGGUGGAAUGCGUAGAUAUAUGGAAGAACACCAGUGGCGAAGGCGGCUCUCUGGUCUGCAACUGACGCUGAGGCUCGAAAGCAUGGGUAGCGAACAGGAUUAGAUACCCUGGUAGUCCAUGCCGUAAACGAUGAGUGCU